AUGGAUGCACGGAUGCGGCUGGUACUUCAGGAAGGAGCAAUGAUAGCUGUGAUUCAGGCAUGGGUCAUGUUCAUGCACAAGCGAGUUGUUCGUCGUGCUGAGAGGCCUCUCAUCAGAUAUGCUCGACUGCUUAUGCGGGAGCAGGAGAUGAUCGCUAAUCUGAACUACAUAUCCAACUGCAACGACACACAUGAUCUGUGGAUGCUUAGAAUGAAAGCACCAUUUGCCAGACUUGUUCAGACCUUUAGGACCAGGGGGCUGCUAGAAGAUAGCAUCGCCAGUGUGAAAGAGCAAGUCGUCAUGUUCCUUCAUAUUGUUGGCCUUAACCAUAGGUUUAGGGUUAUCCACAACACGUUCAGGAGGUCAAUGGAGACCAUCUCAAGGUACUUUAAGCAAGUGUCGUACGCUGUUGGGGAGCUCAGAGGAGAGAUGAUCAAGUCACCAACUGGUCAGACUCCUACCAAGAUUCGCACAAGCUCAAGAUGGUAUCCAUACUUCAAGGUGAGCACUGCGUAUGUAGUUCAUUGCUUGAUAUGCUUGGAUAGUUCAAGGUGA
rnacentral:rRNA from 1 species